rnacentral:rRNA from 1 species
UACGUAGGUGGCAAGCGUUAUCCGGAUUUAUUGGGCGUAAAGCGAGCGCAGGCGGUUGCUUAGGUCUGAUGUGAAAGCCUUCGGCUUAACCGAAGAAGUGCAUCGGAAACCGGGCGACUUGAGUGCAGAAGAGGACAGUGGAACUCCAUGUGUAGCGGUGGAAUGCGUAGAUAUAUGGAAGAACACCAGUGGCGAAGGCGGCUCUCUGGUCUGCAACUGACGCUGAGGCUCGAAAGCGUGGGUAGCAAACAGG